AUCCAGAUGACGAGUCCCAAAAAGGACGAUAUGCGCGUACUGGAU
rnacentral:hammerhead_ribozyme from 1 species